CUUCUUGCUUCUCUCCCCUGAAUUCUUAAGAUCCUGGGCUCAUGAAGGAGAUGGACCUAAUACUUCCAGGGCAAGAGGGUAUCACGGCAUAUUUGUGAUAAAAUGUGUAUGCAAAUUCAAUUGGGAAUGGUGAGAGAACGGAGAUUGCCAUCCAAAGACAUCUGGUGCGGAACAGAGGGGCGCCAUCGAAAUGCCGGGGCGGAUUGUCGGCAGGGCUCUGCCACCACUGGAAACUCAGCACUUACGCGCUCUUGAAAUUAUUUCUGGCUGCUUCACGGAGGGCUGCUCCAGGCAAAACCAUGCCGUAAGUGAAGUCUUGCUUCUGCACUUCGUCUCCGCGUGGUCUCCAGGGCCGCCCUCCAUUCCCCACAGCGGGGAGUCUUCCGCUGUGUUUCACAGGCAGUUCAAUCAUCUUCCAGCAAAUAGUCAUACAAAGGUGGCACAGAUUCUUAAGGUGGGAUUCACAUUGAAUUUGUCAAGUGUUUGUUGUUGUUCUGCAUGUGCCCUCAAGUUCACCAAGAGUACACUGUAGGACCAUCCGCGGUUUGAAUCCUGGCU